UUACUCGAGAGUUUGAUCCUGGCUCAGGAUGAACGCUGGCGGCGUGCUUAACACAUGCAAGUCGAACGGUGAAGCCAAGCUUGCUUGGUGGAUCAGUGGCGAACGGGUGAGUAACACGUGAGCAACCUGCCCUGAACUCUGGGAUAAGCGCUGGAAACGGCGUCUAAUACUGGAUAUGAGCUGCGGAGGCAUCUUCGUGGUUGGAAAGAUUUUUCGGUUUGGGAUGGGCUCGCGGCCUAUCAGCUUGUUGGUGAGGUAAUGGCUCACCAAGGCGUCGACGGGUAGCCGGCCUGAGAGGGUGACCGGCCACACUGGGACUGAGACACGGCCCAGACUCCUACGGGAGGCAGCAGUGGGGAAUAUUGCACAAUGGGCGGAAGCCUGAUGCAGCAACGCCGCGUGAGGGAUGACGGCCUUCGGGUUGUAAACCUCUUUUAGCAGGGAAGAAGCGAAAGUGACGGUACCUGCAGAAAAAGCGCCGGCUAACUACGUGCCAGCAGCCGCGGUAAUACGUAGGGCGCAAGCGUUAUCCGGAAUUAUUGGGCGUAAAGAGCUCGUAGGCGGUUUGUCGCGUCUGCUGUGAAAUCUGGGGGCUCAACCCCCAGCCUGCAGUGGGUACGGGCAGACUAGAGUGCGGUAGGGGAGAUUGGAAUUCCUGGUGUAGCGGUGGAAUGCGCAGAUAUCAGGAGGAACACCGAUGGCGAAGGCAGAUCUCUGGGCCGUAACUGACGCUGAGGAGCGAAAGGGUGGGGAGCAAACAGGCUUAGAUACCCUGGUAGUCCACCCCGUAAACGUUGGGAACUAGUUGUGGGGUCCAUUCCACGGAUUCCGUGACGCAGCUAACGCAUUAAGUUCCCCGCCUGGGGAGUACGGCCGCAAGGCUAAAACUCAAAGGAAUUGACGGGGACCCGCACAAGCGGCGGAGCAUGCGGAUUAAUUCGAUGCAACGCGAAGAACCUUACCAAGGCUUGACAUACACGAGAACGCUGCAGAAAUGUAGAACUCUUUGGACACUCGUGAACAGGUGGUGCAUGGUUGUCGUCAGCUCGUGUCGUGAGAUGUUGGGUUAAGUCCCGCAACGAGCGCAACCCUCGUUCUAUGUUGCCAGCACGUAAUGGUGGGAACUCAUGGGAUACUGCCGGGGUCAACUCGGAGGAAGGUGGGGAUGACGUCAAAUCAUCAUGCCCCUUAUGUCUUGGGCUUCACGCAUGCUACAAUGGCCGGUACAAAGGGCUGCAAUACCGCGAGGUGGAGCGAAUCCCAAAAAGCCGGUCCCAGUUCGGAUUGAGGUCUGCAACUCGACCUCAUGAAGUCGGAGUCGCUAGUAAUCGCAGAUCAGCAACGCUGCGGUGAAUACGUUCCCGGGUCUUGUACACACCGCCCGUCAAGUCAUGAAAGUCGGUAACACCUGAAGCCGGUGGCCCAACCCUUGUGGAGGGAGCCGUCGAAGGUGGGAUCGGUAAUUAGGACUAAGUCGUAACAAGGUAGCCGUACCGGAACCUGCGGCUGGAUCACCUCCUUA
rnacentral:rRNA from 1 species